CGGGACGGGUGAGUAAUGUCUGGGAAACGUGCCUGAUGGAGGGGGAUAACUACUGGAAACGGUAGCUAAUACCGCAUAACGUCGCAAGACCAAAGAGGGGGACCUUCGGGCCUCUUGCCAUCGGAUGUGCCCAGAUGGGAUUAGCUAGUAGGUGGGGUAACGGCUCACCUAGGCGACGAUCCCUAGCUGGUCUGAGAGGAUGACCAGCCACACUGGAACUGAGACACGGUCCAG
rnacentral:rRNA from 1 species